UCCAGUUGUCAGUGGUGAUGUUGCCUUCAAGGUUCGCGAUAGAGGUUACAUCUUAAUUUUGAAUAACUUCGCUUAUGGCCAUAAGUUGAUCGCCCCCUGAUGCAGUACAUUCCUCACGGACGCUUGAACUGGACCCAUCGUAAAAAGGGAUGAACUCUGGAUUCUUCAAUGGGUUGGCUUCCCCGAUAAUCUCACCAUCUUUUCUUUCAUCUGUU
rnacentral:lncRNA from 1 species